rnacentral:rRNA from 1 species
ACGCACGCUGGCGGCGUGCCUCAUACAUGCCAGUCGAGCGCAGGAAGCUGACGGAACUCUUCGGAGGGAAGGCAGUGGAAUGAGCGGCGGACGGGUGAGUAACACGUAAGGAACCUGCCUCAAGGAUUGGGAUAACUCCGAGAAAUCGGAGCUAAUACCGGAUAGUUCAACGGACCGCAUGGUCCGGUGAUGAAAGGCGCUUCGGCGUCACCUUGAGAUGGCCUUGCGGUGCAUUAGCUAGUUGGUGGGGUAACGGCUCACCAAGGCGACGACGCAUAGCCGACCUGAGAGGGUGAUCGGCCACACUGGGACUGAGACACGGCCCAGACUCCUACGGGAGGCAGCAGUAGGGAAUCUUCCACAGUGGACGAAAGUCUGAUGGAGCAACGCCGCGUGAGUGAUGAAGGUUUUCGGAUCGUAAAACUCCGUUGUAAGGGAAGAACACGUACGAGAGGGAAUGCUCGUACCUUGACGGUACCUUACGAGAAAGCCACGGCUAACUACGUG